CCUACGGGUGGCAGCAGUGAGGAAUAUUGGUCAAUGGACGAGAGUCUGAACCAGCCAAGUAGCGUGAAGGAUGACUGCCCUAUGGGUUGUAAACUUCUUUUAUAUGGGAAUAAAAUGUUCCACGUGUGGGAUUUUGUAUGUACCAUAUGAAUAAGGAUCGGCUAACUCCGUGCCAGCAGCCGCGGUAAUACGGAGGAUCCGAGCGUUAUCCGGAUUUAUUGGGUUUAAAGGGAGCGUAGGUGGAUUGUUAAGUCAGUUGUGAAAGUUUGCGGCUCAACCGUAAAAUUGCAGUUGAAACUGGCAGUCUUGAGUACAGUAGAGGUGAGCGGAAUUCGUGGUGAAGCGGUGAAAUGCUUAGAUAUCACGAAGAACUCCGAUUGCGAAGGCAGUUCACUGGACUGCAACUGACACUGAGGCUCGAAAGUGUGGGUAUCAAACAGGAUUAGAUACCCCAGUAGUC
rnacentral:rRNA from 1 species